UACCAAGGCUUGACAUACACGAGAACGGGCCAGAAAUGGUCAACUCUUUGGACACUCGUGAACAGGUGGUGCAUGGUUGUCGUCAGCUCGUGUCGUGAGAUGUUGGGUUAAGUCCCGCAACGAGCGCAACCCUCGUUCUAUGUUGCCAGCACGUAAUGGUGGGAACUCAUGGGAUACUGCCGAGGUCAACUCGGAGGAAGGUGGGGAUGACGUCAAAUCAUCAUGCCCCUUAUGUCUUGGGCUUCACGCAUGCUACAAUGGCCGGUACAAUGGGCUGCGAUACCGUAAGGUGGAGCGAAUCCCAAAAAGCCGGUCCCAGUUCGGAUUGAGGUCUGCAACUCGACCUCAUGAAGUCGGAGUCGCUAGUAAUCGCAGAUCAGCAACGCUGCGGUGA
rnacentral:rRNA from 1 species